GCGCGCAGUCCGGGGUUAGGCAGGCUGCAGUGGAGGAGGGUACGCCGUUCCAUUGGCGUGGUACUGUCGGCGGCCCUUCAGAGGAGAUGCUGCCCCACGGAACGCCUGGCAAGUGCUGGCGAAGCGGCAUGGGCGUCCCACUCCGUUCCUCAACCAAUUUCCUCACAAUCGCGAGCCGAAGUGUGGCGCUUUGGCAGUUUCGCAAGAAGCUUCCAGCCUUCAGAUUUGAACUGGGACACUGGCUCUGCAGAUUUUGGACUUGCCAGCCUUCAUAAUUGUAACCUACACUCCUGUCAUUUGUGGAAUGAUUGCUGGAGCCAGAGGCCAGGAAGAAGUUCAUGAGCCUGAGAGAAAAAGCAAGGAUUUCCAGUUCUACCCUGUGAGGAAAACAAGGCUUGGAGUGGGUAAGUUGCCAAGUUUGUAUGGCAGAGCCCAGCCCUGACUCCAGGGGAUGCUGUUCUCACCCCAUCUCGUGGCCACCAUCCCUGGACUUUCCCUGCAGGGCCUUCUUGGAAAUGCACAGGUGCCACUUGACUUUGAAUAUUCCAUUGCUAUAAAUAAGGAACUCUUCUCAGUUCAGUGUGGGAAGAGGGGAUGGAGAGCUGCAAUUUGGUCCCAAGCCUGCUGUUUGCUCCAAGUAUCGGCCACAUCCAUUUUACAAGCAAUUGGCAUUAUGGUUAUGGUUGAUGGUAUCAUAAAGCCUUGGCCCUGAUGCCCAAUGCCAUCAUGACUUUCCUGACAGCUCUGUCUUAAGGCUGCUGUUUCAUGGCAGUCAAACCCACAGAGGCUCAGCAACCUCCAUUGGUAACAGGAGCAUUGGCACUUACAGCGAUAAUAAAAUCCCAAGGAAACAAAAUGCAUUCUUAUAAGCUGGCAGGAUGAACGUCACCUCCCCUAUUAAUUAUGCAAAUGCAACCUGAGUCCUGGCUGCACUUAAUUUCCCCACUUCCCAAGGACUAAGUUUGUCAUGAGUGAAAAAGCCACUUUAUAUAUGUCACCUUGUUGGUUUGGUGGCUAUGAGCUGUCAGAGAGCCAGGUUAUCAGUUGGGAGUAAUUAAUGGGCUCGUGGAAUUUUUGUUGUUUGUUCUUUUUUGUUCUUUUCGCAAAUGUUGUCAUUUCUGGCCAAG
rnacentral:lncRNA from 1 species